GUGGCUGUGGCUCAGUGGUAGAGCACUUGCCUUGCAUGUGUGAGUCACUGGGUUCAAGUCUCAGCACUGCA
rnacentral:tRNA from 1 species